rnacentral:lncRNA from 1 species
CUUAACACACUUCUCUUGCGUGUCGCAAUGUCAGAUCAACACCUAAAAGCUACGUCUCGCGAGCAGAUCCAGUGUAUGCAGUGCUCCACCUGCAACAACCCAUGCAACCAACCUCAUUCACCGCCUCCACCCUCGCCGCCGCCACCUGCCUCCACCAACAACUGCCCUCCCCCUCCUUCCUCCGCCGGCACUUAUUACUACUACCCUCCUCCGCCACCUGCUCAGUAUGUGUACUCAUCACCGCCUCCUCCGGCGUCUUCUGGAGGUGGAGGCGGAGGCGGAGGCGGCGGAAUCUACUACUAUCCUCCGCCCAGCAACAGAAACUACCCGAUGCCCCCGCCGCCGAACCCAAUUGUACCGUAUUUU